GGCCUGGUGGUCUAGUAGUAUGAUUCCUUCUUAGGGUUGUCCUGGGCUUUGCACCAAAGGAUUACACAAUAUGGAGGAGGUCCCGGGUUCAAUUCCCGGCCAGGCCC